GGCUCGUGAACUCGACGGUAGAGUGCUGGUCUGAAAAGCCGGUGGACACGGUUCAAUUCCGUGACGAGCCACCA
rnacentral:tRNA from 2 species